rnacentral:misc_RNA from 1 species
AAGAGUUAGGGUCUUCUAGGCCCGACCUCCCAACCCUCUGUUUAUUGAACCUCUGUUGCUUCGGUGGACCCGUCUCACGACCGCCGGGGGACCGCUGCGAGGCGCCCUCUGGCCAGUGUCCGCCGAUAGCCAACCUCUCAAACUCUGAAUCAAUCCUGUCCUUAUGUCUAAGUCUAUGAUUUAAAUUGUAAGCA